rnacentral:rRNA from 1 species
UACGUAGGGUGCGAGCGUUAAUCGGAAUUACUGGGCGUAAAGUGUGCGCAGGUGGCUUCGCAAGUCGAGUGUGAAAGCCCCGGGCUUAACCUGGGAAUUGCGCUCGAAACUACGGAGCUGGAGUAUGGCAGAGGGAGGUGGAAUUCCACGUGUAGCGGUGAAAUGCGUAGAGAUGUGGAGGAACACCGAUGGCGAAGGCAGCCCCCUGGGCUAACACUGACGCUCAUGCACGAAAGCGUGGGGAGCAAACAGG